rnacentral:miRNA from 6 species
UCGGACCAGGCUUCAUUCCCU